AGAGUUUGAUCAUGGCUCAGAACGAACGCUGGCGGCAGGCUUAACACAUGCAAGUCGAACGCACCUUUCGGGGUGAGUGGCAGACGGGUGAGUAACGCGUGGGAACGUGCCCUUCAGUUCGGGAUAACCCAGGGAAACUUGGGCUAAUACCGGAUACGUGCGAGAGCAGAAAGAUUUAUCGCUGAAGGAUCGGCCCGCGUCUGAUUAGCUAGUUGGUGGGGUAAUGGCCCACCAAGGCGACGAUCAGUAGCUGGUCUGAGAGGAUGAUCAGCCACAUUGGGACUGAGACACGGCCCAAACUCCUACGGGAGGCAGCAGUGGGGAAUAUUGGACAAUGGGCGCAAGCCUGAUCCAGCCAUGCCGCGUGAGUGAUGAAGGCCUUAGGGUUGUAAAGCUCUUUCGUCCGGGACGAUAAUGACGAGUACCGGAAGAAGAAGCCCCGGCUAACUUCGUGCUAGCAGCCGCGGUAAUUC
rnacentral:rRNA from 1 species